GUCCACGCCCUAAACGAUGUUUACUUGCUGUGUGAUCUUCGGAUUGCGUGGCGAAGCGAAAGCGAUAAGUAAACCACCUGGGGAGUACGCCGGCAACGGUGAAACUCAAAGGAAUUGACGGGGUCCGCACAAGCGGUGGAGCAUGUGGUUUAAUUCGAUGAUACGCGAGGAACCUUACCUGGGCUAGAAUGUGUGAGGAAGUGAUGUGAAAGCUGAUCGCCCGCAAGGGCUUCAUACAAGGUGCUGCAUGGCUGUCGU
rnacentral:rRNA from 1 species